rnacentral:rRNA from 1 species
GAGUUUGAUUCUGGCUCAGGACGAACGCUGGCGGCGUGCCUAACACAUGCAAGUCGAACGGAGAUUUUAUUUCGGUAAAAUCUUAGUGGCGAACGGGUGAGUAACGCGUAGGCAACCUGCCCCACAGCCGGGGACAACUUUCCGAAAGGGAGGCUAAUACCGGAUACGAACGAGGUAUCGCAUGAUACGUGGUUGAAAGAUGGCCUCUGCAAGCAAGCUAUCGCUGAGGGAUGGGCCUGCGUCCGAUUAGCUGGUUGGUGAGGUAAGGGCUCACCAAGGCGACGAUCGGUAGCCGGUCUGAGAGGAUGAACGGCCACAUUGGGACUGAGACACGGCCCAGACUCCUACGGGAGGCAGCAGUGGGGAAUCUUCCGCAAUGGACGCAAGUCUGACGGAGCAACGCCGCGUGAGGGAGGAAGUUUUUCGGAACGUAAACCUCUGUUGUUCAUGACGAACGAGCUUUUUAUUAACAACGAAGAGCCAUGACGUA